AUUGAACGCUGGCGGCAGGCCUAACACAUGCAAGUCGAGCGGCAGCGGGAAAGUAGCUUGCUACUUUUGCCGGCGAGCGGCGGACGGGUGAGUAAUGCCUGGGAAAUUGCCCAGUCGAGGGGGAUAACAGUUGGAAACGACUGCUAAUACCGCAUACGCCCCACGGGGGAAAGCAGGGGACCUUCGGGACUUGCACGAUUGGCUAUGCCCAGGUGGGAUUAGCUAGUUGGUGGGGUAAUGGCUCACCAAGGCGACGAUCCCUAGCUGGUCUGAGAGGAUGAUCAGCCACACUGGAACUGAGACACGAUCCAGACUCCUACGGGAGGCAGCAGUGGGGAAUAUUGCACAAUGGGGGAAACCCUGAUGCAGCCAUGCCGCGUGUGUGAAGAAGGCCUUCGGGUUGUAAAGCACUUUCAGCGAGGAGGAAAGGUUGAUGCCUAAUACGUAUCAACUGUGACGUUACUCGCAGAAGAAGCACCGGCUAACUCCGUGCCAGCCGCCGCCGUAAGAC
rnacentral:rRNA from 1 species